rnacentral:rRNA from 1 species
GACUGGGGCGGUCUCCUCCCAAAGAGUAACGGAGGAGCACGAAGGUUAGCUAAUCCUGGUCGGACAUCAGGAGGUUAGUGCAAUGGCAUAAGCUAGCUUGACUGCGAGCGUGACGGCGCGAGCAGGUGCGAAAGCAGGUCAUAGUGAUCCGGUGGUUCUGAAUGGAAGGGCCAUCGCUCAACGGAUAAAAGGUACUCCGGGGAUAACAGGCUGAUACCGCCCAAGAGUUCAUAUCGACGGCGGUGUUUGGCACCUCGAUGUCGGCUCAUCACAUCCUGGGGCUGAAGUAGGUCCCAAGGGUAUGGCUGUUCGCCAUUUAAAGUGGUACGCGAGCUGGGUUUAGAACGUCGUGAGACAGUUCGGUCCCUAUCUGCCGUGGGCGCUGGAGAAUUGAGGGGGGCUGCUCCUAGUACGAGAGGACCGGAGUGGACGCAUCACUGGUGUUCGGGUUGUCAUGCCAAUGGCAUUGCCCGGUAGCUAAAUGCGGAAGAGAUAAGUGCUGAAAGCAUCUAAGCACGAAACUUGCCCCGAGAUGAGUUCUCCCUGAGACUUUAAGUCUCCUGAAGGAACGUUAAAGACGAUGACGUUGAUAGGUCGGGUGUGUAAGCGUAGCGAUACGUUGAGCUAACCGAUACUAAUGAACCGUGAGG